rnacentral:rRNA from 1 species
CCUACGGGAGGCAGCAGUGAGGAAUAUUGGUCAAUGGACGAGAGUCUGAACCAGCCAAGUAGCGUGAAGGAUGACUGCCCUACGGGUUGUAAACUUCUUUUAUAUGGGAAUAAAACGUUCCACGUGUGGGAUUUUGUAUGUACCAUAUGAAUAAGGAUCGGCUAACUCCGUGCCAGCAGCCGCGGUAAUACGGAGGAUCCGAGCGUUAUCCGGAUUUAUUGGGUUUAAAGGGAGCGUAGGUGGAUUGUUAAGUCAGUUGUGAAAGUUUGCGGCUCAACCGUAAAAUUGCAGUUGAAACUGGCAGUCUUGAGUACAGUAGAGGUGGGCGGAAUUCGUGGUGUAGCGGUGAAAUGCUUAGAUAUCACGAAGAACUCCGAUUGCGAAGGCAGUUCACUGGACUGCAACUGACACUGAGGCUCGAAAGUGUGGGUAUCAAACAGGAUUAGAUACCCCGGUAGUC